CGGUGAAUACGUUCCCGGACCUUGCACACACCGCCCGUCAAGCCAUGGAAGCUGGGUGUACCUAAAGUCGGUAACCGCAAGGAGCCGCCUAGGGUAAAACUAGUAACGUGGGGCU
rnacentral:rRNA from 1 species